UAUUCUGCCCUACAGGGAAGGAUGAGAAGCUUCGACUAAGGUUCGACUCGAGCGAAGCGAGAGAACGUUGCCGCAGGCAACGGCCCGAAGGGCGAGGCGCUUUAGCGC
rnacentral:sRNA from 1 species